rnacentral:rRNA from 1 species
CCGUACGGUGAAACCGCGAAAGGCUCAUUAAAUCAGUUAUGGUUCCUUAGAUAGUACCCACGUUACUUGGAUAACUGUGGUAAUUCUAGAGCUAAUACAUGCCUAUUGAGUUCCGACCGGGGUCGUGUCGGUUUCGGCUGGCGCGACGUUCGGGAGGAGCGCUUUUAUUAGAUCAAAACCGGCCGAGCGGCCGCUCUUUCGGGCGGCCGUAAGGGGCCCGCGCAAUGACUUGACGACUCUGAAUAACUUCGAGCUGAUCGCACGGUCUUUGUACCGGCGACGUAUCUUUCAAAUGUCUGCCUUAUCAACUGUCGACGGUAAGUUAGAUGCUUACCGUGGUGGUAACGGGUAACGGGGAAUCAGGGUUCGAUUCCGGAGAGGGAGCCUGAGAAACGGCUACCACAUCCAAGGAAGGCAGCAGGCGCGCAAAUUACCCACUCCCAGCUCGGGGAGGUAGUGACGA